CAGUACUACUAAAAGGUUGUUUACCCCUGAUUAUAAGAUAUUAAAAGAUAGCCAAUAUAUAAUAUGUUAUGGUGCACUUACAGAGAAACAAUAAAUUAAAGUGGAGCAGACAGCAAAAGACUAUAGGCUUAGUUGUGGUUCAGAAGUUGGACAAUUUGUGACCUGUAAAUACCAAAAAUAAAUUGAAAGUUUAAAAAUCCUAGACACAUGAUGUGCUCUGUAGUUCAGGACAAAUUAAAUACAUUUUAAAUUAUUUUCCUUUAGCUGCAAGAAUUAGGUACCCAUUAUUACAGCUAAAACUGUGACACAAUGUUUUGUUUUUUCACAUCAAAUGAACGAAACACUCCAAGCACCAAGAACACUUCUUCUCACUGUAGUCAUUGUGGUGCCUGGAGUGCCCACUCCCCAUCGGAAGGAGUCAAACUGUUUUAGAAUGGUUUGACAUUUUGCUUGGCGUCCGCUGGGCGAGGCUCCCCACCACUACAAUUUUUGGCAGAGAGCUAGUAACUUCUAAGCAGGAGAUUGUGUUAGCACUCCUGAGCUAAACCCUGCAAUGCAGGUUUCAUUGUCUGAGAACAUCAGCUGAUCACUGUCUGCAAAUGAAUGAGACCAUUCUAAAACCGUUCGACUCCUUACAAUGGGGGGUGCUAGGCUCUCCUGGUUCUAUCUACUAGGCUGAGUGGUUGAUGGCCGCUGUAGCUACGACCAAAAAUUGUAUAGUUUCCUUGCUAUGAGACUCUCACUAGCUGCUGUAUGGAAAUUCAACCCCCAGCCUCCAGGUAGUUUAUAGCAAAAUUAAAUGACAAUUGAUCUCUAAGUUAGCUAAUGUGCAAAACACUGUAUCAUUCUAACGUUUGGAGGCGUCCAGAAGAAUAUAAAAGUUGAUCACAAUAAACUAAUGUAUACCGUGUGACUCCUUAAAGGACCACUAUAGGCACCCAGACCACUUCAGCUUAAUGAGGUGGUCUGGGUGCCUGGUCCAUCUAGGGUUAACUCUUUUUUUCUAUAAACAUAGCAGUUUCAGAGAAACUGCUAUGUUUAUA